rnacentral:rRNA from 1 species
UAAGCGUAAGCCCAGCUUUGCUGGGUACUCGAGUUGGCGAACGGGUGAGUAACACGUUGGGUUGAUCCUGCCCCUGACUUUUGGGAUAAGCCUGGGAAACUGGGUCUAAUACCGGAUAUUCACUUCUUCCUCGCAUGGGGUUUGGUGGAAAGCUUUUGCGGUUGGGGAUGGGCCCGCGGCCUAUCAGCUUGUUGGUGGGGUAAUGGCCUACCAAGGCGACGACGGGUAGCCGACCUGAGAGGGUGAUCGGCCACACUGGGACUGAGACACGGCCCAGACUCCUACGGGAGGCAGCAGUGGGGAAUAUUGCACAAUGGGCGCAAGCCUGAUGCAGCGACGCCGCGUGAGGGAUGACGGCCUUCGGGUUGUAAACCUCUUUCAGCUCCGACGAAGCGCGAGUGACGGUAGGAGCAGAAGAAGCACCGGCCAACUACGUGCCAGCAGCCGCGGUAAUACGUAGGGUGCAAGCGUUGUCCGGAAUUACUGGGCGUAAAGAGCUCGUAGGCGGUUUGUCGCGUCGUCUGUGAAAUUCUGCAGCUUAACUGCAGGCGUGCAGGCGAUACGGGCAGACUUGAGUACUACAGGGGAGACUGGAAUUCGGUCUACCGGGUUUUUCCCAAAAAGGGGGGGGGGGUCGGGCCGCCCCUCUUGUGUUGGGUGUUA